rnacentral:rRNA from 1 species
GAGGAAUAUUGGGCAAUGCCCGCAAGGGUGACCCAGCAACGCCGCGUGGAGGAUGAAUGUCGUAAGAUUGUAAACUCCUGUUAGAGGGGAAGAAUAGUACCGGUUGGACCGGUAUAUGACUGUACCCUCAGAGAAAGCCCCGGCUAACUACGUGCCAGCAGCCGCGGUAAUACGUAGGGGGCAAGCGUUGUCCGGAUUUACUGGGUGUACAGGGCGCGCAGGCGGGAUAAAAAGUCAGUGGUGAAAUCCUACAGCUUAGCUGUAGAACUGCCUUUGAUACGUUUAUUCUUGAGUUCGGGAGAGAGAGACGGAAUUCCAGGUGUAGUGGUGAAAUACGUAGAUAUCUGGAAGAACACCAGUUGCGAAGGCGGUCUCUUGGUCCGACACUGACGCUGAGGCGCGAAAGCGUGGGGAGCAAACA